UACGUAGGUGGCAAGCGUUGUCCGGAAUUACUGGGCGUAAAGCGUGCGCAGGCGGUUGUGCAAGACAGAUGUGAAAUCCCCGGGCUCAACCUGGGAAUUGCAUUUGUGACUGCACGGCUAGAGUGUGUCAGAGGGGGGUAGAAUUCCACGUGUAGCAGUGAAAUGCGUAGAGAUGUGGAGGAAUACCGAUGGCGAAGGCAGCCCCCUGGGAUAACACUGACGCUCAUGCACGAAAGCGUGGGGAGCAAACAGG
rnacentral:rRNA from 1 species